CACAUCUCAACAAGGACCAGCCACUUUUCAAGUGUUUAAUAGCUACGGGUACCGGACAGCGCAGGUCUCGUGUGUGCCGCUGGUGCUGACAGAGGACAUCGCACAUUCCCACAUGGAUACACGUGCGCCUGUGCACACAUACCCACACAUGCACAUGCUGUGUGCACACACAUAUGCACAUGUUCAUACCAGACCAGCACAAACCAAGGAACUUUGUCAAAUAUCAGCAUCAGGACCAGCAAAUCACACAAAUUAGAGCCCUGAACCCAAGCAUCUGGGUAUAGCGGGAGAAACUACUUGAGGCCCAGGGGAAAUGGACACCAACCUGAAUUCAUAGAGUGCCGACAAAGCAUUUCCCCGCGUGAGAGGAAGCCAGCCCCUCACGGGGGAAAGAAGGCAUCUGGCUUACUGCCCUUUGAAGUUCAAUUCACCUUUUAAUAUCAAGAGUAAAAGACCAAGAAAAAGAACUGGAGGCCUUUAAGCAAUUGAGGCAAGAGGUCAAAGGACCUUGGUCAGUUCCUUGGGAAAUGAGUUUCAUAUGAGAUUCAGGAGAGGAAAGAAAACUGUUGAAAAUUUAUAAAGCUAACAGUUUGUGCACUCAAAUGGUGUCAAACCACAGGACCCUGGAGCCUUAACACAUUAAUGAAAGCCUCAGCCCUAAACUCAUUUACACGAAAAUUAAUUACCGUUCCAGCCGGACCCACAGAAGCAAGGGGUAGCAGGGAAGCUGUGUGCUUUUCAAAAGUGAAGGGCUUAGAGACUGCUGGGGGACUGUGGUUUUUCCAGGAAUGGGAUGGAUUGAAAUGGAUCUGUGGAAAGAAAGAAAGAAAAGAAAACGUUUUCAACCUUCCAUUGUAGCUCCCACAUACCAACCAAACAUGCCAAGAAAUGAAGGAAGGAUGCAUCCCCUGCCACUGGGAGACCUUUUUCCUCCCUCAGGCACAACCUCUGGCAGUAUGCAGUGUCUGUCCCCAGCCCUCCCCAUCAAGUCCGCACCAGAUGGGCCGCACUUCAGAAUUACACUUGGGGAGCGUUUACUCGCUGCACUUGUGAGGUGGAGACUGGAGCCACAUGGAAGGCACAUGCAGGAAAUGCGCUUUUUUCUCAGUUUUACUCACUCAGAUGAAGUAAGCUGCCAUGAUAUGAGCUCCCCUAGGAAGCCCACGUGGUAGCGAGUUGAGAAUGACCUUCAGCCAACAACCAUCAAAGAAAUAAGGGCCUCAGACCAGCAGCCCACAAGGAACUGAGAGCUGCCAGCAACCACAUGAAUGUGGCUGGAAGCGGAUCCUUCCCUCAGGGAGCCUUGACAAGGACAGUCACCCCAGCCAACACUCAGCUGCUGUGAGACGCCUGGGCGCAGAGAACUUGGCUUAGCCACAUGCUGACUCCUGACCUACAGAAAACUGAGAUAAUGAAUGUUUUUAAAGUCACCAAAUUUGGGGAUAAUUCAUUACACAGCAAUAGGAAGCUAAUACAGAAUGGUCAUUUUUUGUAGGAGAAGUCUGCACAUGAUUCUAGGCUUACACUUAUUGUGCUUAAGAAUUACCUUGGAACCUGAAACCUGUAAUCCAAAUCUUUGGAUCUGGAUAAAAGAAUCAGAUCCAAAAAAUUUUAUGUAGCCACUGGGGAUACAGCACUCGCUGGACAGCACUCUUUAGGAAGAGACUAAAGAUACUGCAUUUUGAAAUACCUUAAAUGAUUCCAAUGUACAUGGGGGAGGAGAGUUCCCAUGCAGUGAAAAGAAAAUACCAAGAUAGGCAACUCAGAAAUGUGGGUCUCGAUGUCCGAGAGCAAGAAGAGGCAAGAGUCCAGACACCGUGGGGAAGUUGGCUUUAAAGUUUUGGCCUUUUUCUCUGAAACAGGAGGAAAGACUUUUUAAGAGGAUGAAAAUACAUUGAUAUUUUGAAAUAGAAGGAAAAGCCUUAGUGUUCUCCAAAAGAAGGACAGAAGCUAUCUACAAAGCCCGAGGAAGCAGAAGCACUGUUCAAGGUUUAAAGAGAGAGGAAAAAAUAGACUCCUAGAGAAGGCUUAGUGAGCCACUAAGAAACUUAAUAAAAGUAAAGGCAUUGAGAGUGCCUGAGGAUGG
rnacentral:lncRNA from 13 species